AGAGUUUGAUCCUUCCUCAGAUUGAACGCUGGCGGCAUGCUUUACACAUGCUAGUCGAACGGUAACAGGGAGCUUGCUCCGCUGACGAGUGGCGAACGUGUGAGUAAUGCGUCGGAACGUGCCGAGUAGUGGGGGAUAACGCAUCGAAAGGUGUGCUAAUACCGCAUACGAACUGAGGUUGAAAGUGGGGGACCUUCGGGCCUCACGCUAUUCGAGCGGCCGACGUCUGAUUAGCUAGUUGGUGAGGUAAAGGCUCACCAAGGCGACGAUCAGUAGCGGGUCUGAGAGGAUGAUCCGCCACACUGGGACUGAGACACGGCCCAGACUCCUACGGGAGGCAGCAGUGGGGAAUUUUGGACAAUGGGCGCAAGCCUGAUCCAGCCAUGCCGCGUGUCUGAAGAAGGCCUUCGGGUUGUAAAGGACUUUUGUCCGGGAGCAAAUGCCUGGUGUUAAUAGCAUCGGGAGCUGAGAGUACCGGAAGAAUAAGCACCGGCUAACUACGUGCCAGCAGCCGCGGUAAUACGUAGGGGGCAAGCGUUGUCCGGAAUUAUUGGGCGUAAAGGGCGCGUAGGCGGAUUUUUAAGUCUGGUGUGAAAGAUCAGGGCUCAACCCUGAGAGUGCAUCGGANACUGGGGAUCUUGAGGACAGGAGAGGAAAGUGGAAUUCCACGUGUAGCGGUGAAAUGCGUAGAUAUGUGGAGGAACACCAGUGGCGAAGGCGACUUUCUGGACUGUAACUGACGUUGAGGCGCGAAAGCGUGGGGAGCAAACAGGAUUAGAUACCCUGGUAGUCCACGCCGUUAACGAUGAGUGCUAGGUGUAGAGGGUAUCGACCCCUUCUGUGCCGCA
rnacentral:rRNA from 1 species